CACACACACCCAAACACAGAGAAAACAAUUUUUACGUGGUUUGACAAGUUGCCUACUCCACAGGCAGCUGAUUUGUAUUAUGGAGGGUUUACAAUCACUCACCCCAAUCCCAGUGCAUAUCCACCCAAUCCUCACAAUCCCUCAUACUACAUUUUUGCUACACUUUUGAAGCUUUACAGGCAUACAUAUUUUUAGGCAAAGGAGAAGAAGCCAAAAUGAACAAGUAAUCUUCAACUUGGGGGCCAUUGUCAACAAUGGUGGCUUGAGAAAUCAUUUUUGAAUUUGAGACAAUCCAAAAUGAGUUUUGCAGCCACCAAAUAUGUGCUGAACACCUGCAGAUCUCCUACAUUUUGCUUAUAACUGCUCUGUAGGAUUUUAGUUUUUCUUCCUUGAAUAUUGUGAUCAGUUAUCUCUGUGUAUAAAUUGCCACCUAGGCAGUGGUGUUGUAUGGUCAAGUUGAGAAAGCUAGUCAAGACAUGGCUUAUCAUUGGCAGUAGAAAGGAAGAUUCUUGGCUUAUGAUUGGGUGGGGAAGAACAAACCUAAGAUUCUACGCCAUUCAUUCUUGCAUUCUAAGAGAAGUUGUGAAUUAGUUGGCCAAAGUUGACGGUUUGAUGCAUUAUUAACACAUCAUAGCAGGUUACAGUCAAUGUCAUAUCCACGAGGAAGAACAUGAAAAUUUCAAAUUAUGCAAGAUCAGGAGUCUUUUCCUACCACUGAACUAUUGUCAUCCUGGUGCUUUAUAAGCUUCGUCGAAUCUUUCUAAGCCAAGAGAAGUUUGAAGCUGUUGAAACUCUUAACUGGAGACUGUUGGGCAGAGGCCGGGUGGGGCAAGUCCAACAUCCUGUCGGGGAGGAAACCAGGUGGGCCAAGGCUCAGUUAACCCAUUGGCGCUUAGGCUCGCUACGUGGAGUAACGAACUAAACAUGCACCUUCACUAACACAUGCUGGUUUUGCUGAGAUGGUAAGCUCUUGUUCCUAACAGAACUUACAAACUUAGUCAACUUCAUCAUUCUUACUGCAUGAUCACUCUAGCUUCAUAGAUAUAACUUGAAGAGUGGUAUCACAUGUGAGAUAACUAAGUUUUAUUAAUCUUUUCUUCUAUAACUUAGGUACUUGAAAAGUUCUCCUUCUGAGGAUCAUCCACAGUUACACUUUGUUUUCCUCCCAGUUCUUGUAGCACUCAUGUAGUAUACAUCCUGUCAGAUAUCAGAAAGUUGGCCUAGCCACCUGAGUUAUCAUAAAAAUGUAGUAUUCCAGGAAGUUGUCUCAAGGUAAUUAGAUAACUUGAUAUAGGAAACCAAAUUCUGUCAGACUCUCUUACCUUUUACAGUGCUCAGUUCACGAACUUCCCAAAGUUGAACCAGUGUCAUUGGUAAACAAGUAUAAAAUUCAAAACACAUGAAAAUCAGUAAUUCUAUCCAAGCUACCUAGAAUUUUAUUGUUGGACUUAUAAACAGUUCUCCGAGAUUAUAGAUACCAAACUACUUGAGCUCUGGUCGACUAAAACGAAUAUGAGAUUACUGCAAUCGAUAACAAGAAGUCAAGUUUGAAUAAACUUACAUUCUGUCUUUGGUUUCUCAAGCCAAAGCUUAAAUAACCCACUGGUGGCCUGGUUGGCUUGUCUACCUGGUUCACAGCUUUAGUUAAACCUUGGAAGUAUAACAAGACCUAGAAAAGGGCAUAAUGCUUUAUGUUUUCGAAAACUAAGGUGAUUGUGGUAAUCCGGGGGAAAAGUAGGUUCUCUAAAAUCAUUUGGUCUGAUCUUUAAGGUGGGGUUCAGUGAAUAACACACAUGGAUUAUAGACCUUAUAAAUGGAGUUGGCCUAUUUUCUGCAGAACUCCUGUAGUCACUUCCUGGUUUUUUAGCCAAGUAUUUUCCAUCUUUGAAAAAAAGGAACUCCCUAUUAUUUGCCUUCCCCAGAGAUUGUCAUCCUAACUCCUAAGCUUCAUCAAAUCAGUUAACCAAAAAUCAGGUUGAAGUUUAUAAUUUUUUGAAGCUCUUCGACAAAAAGUUUACAUAAUACCUAUUGCAUCAUAAAUAUGACUUGAGAACUAGUAUUGCAUUUCAAAGAUUUUGUAGUAGGCUGAACUUAACAGCUCGGACCCCGCGUCUUACAAGCACAGACCGAGGUUAAAGGUGAGAGAGGUGGCCGUACCAGUCCCCAAGUUCGGCAAUGACUGGAGCAUGAGGAGGGGCCACACCACACUUACCCAACGCCUCAGUUGAGGAGAAAAGUCCUCCGGUUUGGCUACCGUCAGGCUCACUUACUCCGUCGGUGCCAUCCCCCCUUCGAGUCACCUACCAUCGGGUUCGGCCAAGGGAGAGGCUCGGCCAAUUGCAGCACCACAUGCCACCCCACGCGCCGAAGCCGUUAUGCCAAAAGAUAAUGAUGGGCGCACAUGGGGUGCCAGCUCACACAAAAAACGGUUACCAAAUUUUAUCAGUGAUGUCACAAUGACAUCAGCCGACCCGUGCAAGGCACAUGCCCGUACUUGGAGAGCAAGCCAAGCAGGCUCUAUAAAUACCAAAGCAAGACAAUCCGAAAGAGGUACAUACUUCUACACGCUAAAACCCUAGUCUCUUGCUUUUACUCUCUCUCUGCAUAUUCUCAUCCUCUCGCCGGAGGGCCUUGCCGGGCAACCCCGGUUAGGUCUUAGUCGUGCGCUCACUGUGCAGGUUAGGGGAAGAAGGCUAGGCAACACUCGAACCAAUUGAAGAGGAGCUCAGACCAAGGAUCAACGGGCCACACAGAUUUUUUUUCUAAUACAUGAGAGACUUCAUUGAAAGAAUAAAGACUGACGGUACAAGAAGAAAAACCUUCAACAACAAGAUGAGAUAACAAAAAUGGAUAGGCCUUCAAACAAAAUGAAAAACAGAAGGAAGAAACGAGGAUCUAGAAGGCCCAAAAAUACAAAGAAGGAUGGACCAAUUUCCACACAUAAGCAAGUAGUCCUCACACCUCUAAGCAUCGGGACUUUGGUAUGAACAACAAAGAUAAUCCGAUCAAUAUAUAUAACCUAAGAAUGAGGUCGGGAGACGCACGCCUUUGAAGAGUAUUAUUUCUCUCAAUCCAUAUAUGGUAACCAGUAACGGCCAAAACAAGCUUUAUCAAUGUGCUAUGAAAAUAUGUUCCUUUAACAAUUUGCUAACAGCCUAAGUGACAAAUUUUGUUUUAUUUUCUUAUGCUAUGUUUUAGGUAUUUA